AUAUAUUCAUGCACAAGGGCGGGAAGAGCAGGGCUCACCUUGCCUGCUUAACUCUUCAGCUCGUUUACUCCCUGGGAGCCUCUUACCGGCUUAUGUGGAGUGAACACCAUCCAGAAAAAAAAAAUUUAGCUAAGAAAAACAGGAAUCAAGACAUCAAGACAGGUUGCCGACAGGACCUUUGAUCCGGCCAGAAAUAAAUACAAGCGAAGCUGUCAA